AGAAGAUUGAGGGUUCGUGUCCCUUCGUGG
rnacentral:piRNA from 3 species